GAUGAACGCUAGCUAUAGGCUUAACACAUGCAAGUCGAGGGGAAACGGCAUUAUGUGCUUGCACAUUUUGGACGUCGACCGGCGCACGGGUGAGUAUCGCGUAUCCAACCUGCCCUUUACUUGGGGAUACCCCGUUGAAAGACGGCCUAAUACCCGAUGUAAUUCAUUGAUGGCAUCAGAUAUGAAUAAAAGAUUUAUCGGUAAAGGAUGGUGAUGCGUCUGAUUAGCUUGUUGGUGAGGUAACGGCUCACCAAGGCGACGAUCAGUAGGGGUUCUGAGAGGCAGGUCCCCCACAAUGGAACUGAGACACAGUCCAAACUCCUACGGGAGGCAGCAGUGUGGAAUAUUGGGCAAUGAGCGCAAGCCUGAACCAGCCAAGUAGCGUGCAGGAAGACGGGCCUAGGGGUUGUAAACUGCUUUUAUACGAGAAUAAUUUGAUGCACGUGUGCGUUAUUGCAUGUAUCGUAUGAAUAAGGACCGGCUAAUUCCGUG
rnacentral:rRNA from 1 species